AGCGGCGGACGGGUGAGUAACACGUGGGCAACCUGCCCCUAAGAUCGGGAUAACUUCGGGAAACCGGAGCUAAUACCGAAUAUGAUUAUGUCUCACAUGAGACAUAAUGGAAAGACGGUUUCGGCUGUCACUUAGGGAUGGGCCCGCGGCGCAUUAGCUAGUUGGUGAGGUAACGGCUCACCAAGGCGACGAUGCGUAGCCGACCUGAGAGGGUGAUCGGCCACACUGGGACUGAGACACGGCCCAG
rnacentral:rRNA from 1 species